CAGGGUAUAGCUCAGUGGUAGAGGGCAUGCUUUGCAUGCAGGAGGUCCUGGGUUCCAUCCUCAGUACCUCAA
rnacentral:tRNA from 1 species